AGUUAAAAAGCUCGUAGUUGGAUUUCAGUCUUAGCACGGCUGGCCCGCUCCCUUGAGGAGCCGAGUGCCGGUGUGUGCUGGACUUCCUUCUGGCAAGGAUCUUCUACCUCUAUGAGGCCGGGAGUGACUUCUGGAUCAUUUACUUUGAAGAAAUUAGAGUGUUCAAAGCAAGCUACGCUGUGAAUAUAUUAGCAUGGAAUAAUAACAUAGGACUUGGGUUCUAUUUUGUUGGUUUUCUGAAUCUAAGUAAUGAUUGAUAGGGACAGUUGGGGGUGCUGCUAUUAUAUGGCCAGAGGUGAAAUUCACGGAUUCAUAUAAGAGCAACUUAUGCGAAAGCAUUCACCAAGGAUGUCUUCUUUAAUCAAGAACGAAAGUUGGGGGAUCGAAGACGAUCAGAUACCGUCGUAGUCUCAACCAUAAACUAUGCCGACUAGGGAUUGGUGGACGUUGAAUUUCCGACUCCAUCAGCACCUCAUGAGAAAUCAAAGUCUUUGGGUUCCGGGGGGAGUAUGGUCGCAAGGCUGAAACUUAAAGGAAUUGACGGAAGGACACCACCAGAAGUGGAACUUGCGGCUUAAUUUGACUCAACACGGGAAAACUUACCAGGUCCAGACAUAGUAAGGAUUGACAGAUUGAAGAUCUUUCUUGAUUCUAUGGGGUGGGUGGUGCAU
rnacentral:rRNA from 1 species